GCAACUACAUGCAACAAGGGAGCAACACUAGGAGAAGAGCGGAACCAAAAAGUCAGGAAGGUAUAGUUCCUAUGUAAGAGCUUCAGCCAAUGAACGAAAGACAUGGGUCGUGUGCCACAUCGAGUUACAGAAAUAGUCAAAAGUUGCUUGAUAGGUCUGUAAGAAAGGAUGAUAGUUCUUGAAUGGAAUAAGACUAGAGAGGUUUGCACCGUGUGUGCUUGUGUGUUAGCAAGAGAUAUAUGGGUGACCAAUAUCACCAAGAAUAUAUUAAUAUUUAUCGGAUAAUCAGAAACCACGAGAGUGUUUGUCUGAA